AACGAACGCUGGCGGCAUGCCUAACACAUGCAAGUCGAACGAGACCUUCGGGUCUAGUUGCGCACGGGUGCGUAACGCGAGGGAACCUGCCCUUAGGUUCGGAAUAACUCCCCGAAAGGGGUGCUAAUACCGGAUAAUGUCUUCGGACCAAAGAUUUAUCGCCUUUGGAUGGGCCCGCGUUGGAUUAGCUAGUUGGUAAGGUAAAAGCCUACCAAGGCGACGAUCCAUAGCUGGUCUGAGAGGAUGAUCAGCCACACUGGGACUGAGACACGGCCCAGACUCCUACGGGAGGCAGCAGUGGGGAAUAUUGGACAAUGGGCGAAAGACUGAUCCAGCAAUGCCGCGUGAGUGAUGAAGGCCUUAGGGUUGUAAAGCUCUUUUACCCGGGAUGAUAAUGACAGUACCGGGAGAAUAAGCUCCGGCUAACUCCGUG
rnacentral:rRNA from 1 species